UUGAAGUGGCCCUUCGAAUGAAAAAGGUUCCCCACCCCUGCAUUAAACCUUUCUUCUAGCCACAGCUCUGCUGUCAGUACAUUUUAUUAUGAUACUAUAAGCUCAGAAAUGAAGUUGAUCAAACAAUUCGAUCGGUGCUAUAAACAUUUAAAUGAACCGAAUAGAAAUCAGAAUAGAAACAUCUGAAUGAUCUUUCUUGGACAUAGCCUACAUUUUGAAGUGACCCUUUGAAUUAAAAAGGUUCCUCACCCCUGCUUUUGAGGAAAAACAUCAAUGUGCUUGGCCACUCUGGUUUUUAAAUUAUUCUGAACUAAAGCAAGGAUUGUUCAAGGAAGUUCAAAACAGACUGUCUCUGGUUAAAUUAGUUCUACACCAAGCCUUUAGGUGGCAGUACAACUAAUUCGCACAAUGCGAAUUCCACACACAAGCCACAAAGAAGCCAUCUACCGCGGUCAACAACACCGACCUAUCUGAACAGAAUCACGCGCUGUCUGUGUGGUUUCACUGUUACAAGUUUCUUGGCGACAUGGGGGAAAGUUCCUCACAUACCAACGGAAAAUGGGCUUCACAUACAUGCUGCUGUCUCAUAAUAUGGCGAAGACGAGUCACUUGAAGGCCUAACAGCUCUUAUGAGGAGCAGUCUUGCCAUAGAAGACUGAAAGAAUGUAAGAUUAACUUCUUUGUGACCAAUAUGACUUGCUCAUUGAUACAUUAGCUAUGUCAAUAUGAGAUGCAUGGCGAAGUAUUUAAUUUAUUUGUCUCUCUUCUAGGAGCUGUAGAAACAACAGGGUGCCUGCUGCAGUAUGACGAGGACGCCCUGAUCAUAGAAGGUCCAGUGUCUUGGCAGGGUGAAAUGGCACUGAUAUCGGUAUGUGGUGAUAUCAGUUAAAAUUAAUGAAUUAAUUCUCAUAUCUGAAUAAUGUGAACACUGGAUUUACCACACACUCACACACACCCUAGUCCUAGAUGAUACAACCAAGGUUACUUUUACCACAGCUCUGGCACUGCAUCAAAUUUCUUUUCUUUUUUAUAGAACUGGACAGGUCAUUUAUUCGUUCCCCUUGUUUUUUGCAGUGUCCUGCAGGAUGCUGUGUCCUGCAAUCCUGUGUGCUGUGCUACAGACGCGUGUGGAGGUCAACCCGAAAUGGGCACAGUAGAGUGAAAGAGGGUAAGCUUAACCUAUAGCCUACGUCAGGGUUGGGGAACCUUUCUCAUUCGAAUGGCCACUUCAAAUUCAUCCUAGGGGCCAUAAAAGUCCUCCAAGGGCCGUACUAUGAACACAAACCAGGAUUUUCCCUUUCACUUUAGGCCUAUAUUGAAGGCAGCCACAUUUAAACAAACGCCAACUUCUUCAGGUUCCCUGAAUAUAACUUAAUUGUAUUGCUAAUGUAUUUUCUAAGAUUCCUUUACAAAAUAUGUCAUAUUUCAUGUGAAGAUGGAAUUGCAUUAAAAUUAUAUCGGGGGCCGGAUAAAACAGCCUCAAGGGUCGCAAACGGCCCUAGAGACAUAGGUUCCCCACCCCUGUCCUACAUUGUCAAUAUGACUUGUGCUACUUUAUAGAUAAGUUGUCAAUGCUGUGCAUUGCUAUGUUUUGAUUUAUUUUCUUACAUCCUACAGAUCCUGGCAGGGAGACGGUAGUGUCCUGCAGGAUGGUGAUGGGCAAUCUUACAAGAGACCACAGAAAACUGAUAUAGUCUCCCAGAAGUGAGACUGAGUGCCUGUUGCAGUAUGACGAGGAAGCAGUGACCAGAGACCUUCAGUAGACCCUGCUGGCAUGAUUGGCGGCUGAAGAACAUAAUCAACAGCAAUGUUUAUAAUAUUGUACAUACCUGUAUAGUCUGCACUAAAAUGCUGUACCUGUACUAUUUUUCCUCUUACUUUCAUAUUUACCACGUAUUUACUAUGAAUUGACAACUUUUACUCAAAUCCAUUUUUGUAUGUGCCCUGACUAAAACUAUCCUUAAACCUAACCUGUCAGAGGUGUAAUAACAACCUGCUCUUAGCAAUGUGGCAGCAGUCUACUUGGAUGCAGCGGGGAACAUAGAACCCUUUUUUUGAAAAAGCAUUGUAUGUUUCUGAGUUUUAUGAAUUGUGCCCUUCCCAAACCUAACCUGUCGUAGGGGCCUAUGAAA